rnacentral:rRNA from 1 species
UACGUAGGGUGCGAGCGUUAAUCGGAAUUACUGGGCGUAAAGCGUGCGCAGGCGGUUUAUGUAAGACAGUUGUGAAAUCCCCGGGCUCAACCUGGGAACUGACAUCUGUGACUGCAUAGCUAGAGUACGGUAGAGGGGAUGGAAUUCCGCGUGUAGCAGCGAAAUGCGUAGAUAUGCGGAGGAACACCGAUGGCGAAGGCAAUCCCCGUGGACCUGUACUGACGCUCAUGCACGAAAGCGUGGGGAGCAAACAGG